UACGGGGGGGGCAAGCGUUGCUCGGAAUUAUUGGGCGUAAAGCGUACGCAGGCGGCUCUGCAAGUCGAGUGUGAAAACCCGGGGCUCAACCCCGGAAUUGCACUCGAAACUGCCGGGCUUGAGUGCGGGAGAGGGAAGCGGAAUUCCUGGUGUAGAGGUGAAAUUCGUAGAUAUCAGGAGGAACACCGGUGGCGAAAGUGGCUUCCUGGCCCGAUACUGACUCUCAUGUACGAAAGCGUGGGGAGCAAACAGG
rnacentral:rRNA from 1 species